CGCGGAGGGUGGGUGUGUUCUAGACGCGCGGGCUGACGCCAUCUCACCGUGCUGCUCCACCCGCGCCGCGUGCUCCCAGCGCUCGGGUAAUUCGGGUAACCCGGGUAGGCCAGGGUCAGCCAGCGCCGGACCAGCGUCCAGCAUCGUGGCCGUCCCGGCCAGCCUGGAUGUAGACGGUAAGGAAGGGGACGCAGAGACUCGGAUGGCUACACAUCUGACCUACACAGGAACCACUCUUGUCCUUCAUUCUGUGACAGCCCAGGCCUGUGCCGUGGAGCAGGUGGGGCAGCAGGCUUUGGAUGAAUGGUGAGGAGCAGAGGCUCAGCCCCUCUCACAGGUGCAGGAAGCAGCAGCGCCUUGGGGUUUACUCCUGUGCGCAUCCUGUGGUUGUUGCCCUCCCUGCGUGGGCUGCAGUGAGGAGGUACAGUAACAAAGCAGCCACGGUCCCUAUUUGCUGGGACUUGGUGUUUAACAAGAGAAGUGAUUUUGUGGAGAAGCCAUUCUCCCGCACUGCAGGCACUCGGUUGCCUGAAAUGCUCUCUGUAGAAUUCUGAAAUGCUCUCUGUAGAAUUCUGAAAUGCUCUCUGCAGAGCCCAGGAGAAGGGCUCCAGAAGGUCAGAGCCAUUUGCCACGACAGUAUGGUAUCUCAGAGGGCAGAGGCGAACUCCAAAGUUCCCAAGCAAGCAUUGCUAUAUCUCUAGCAUCUACCAGCAAUUCUGGAGCAGUGAAUACCUGAUUUUGUGCCCUGCCAUGAGAGUUUUCAUUCUGAUUUUACUUCUUGAGCCGAGGGGGAGCUGGAAGGUGGGGCUUGUGCUAGGGUUAUAGGAUGGGAUGAGCAAGGCUUCAUCCUUCUGCAACAUCCUGCAUGAAUCAUAGGCUCUGACUCUGUCUUCUCUCAGCUCUUGAUUUUGCUGAGAACUGAGAAUCCUGAAGGUCUUGGUUCCAGCUCAUCUCUGUGCCCCUAGCCCUUUGUUGCAAAACUUGGUCAGCAGCAUAAGCCAAUGCCGGCACGUGGCAGGUGGGAUACAUGGGAAGGACCCGCUCCACCUAAGCCAGGAUGUGUGCACAUUAACCUCAGCUUCCCACGUGAUGCUGCUGUGACCCUUCUGAGUCAAUUCCCUUCAUUCCGGGCCUCCCUCUCCUCUCCUUGCUCUGUGGCUCUCUGCCCAGCUCUCAGCAGGCAUGGAGGAUGUGCCUGCCACAGGACCCCCUAUGAUCUUUGGGGAUGCUUUAGGAAAACCCUGGAGGGUGUGGCUCAGCAGGCCUGGGCCUUGUGCCUCCUCACCUUGGGGGGCCACAGCAGGGCCUGAGCUCCCAUCUGUUAGGCACAGAAUCACCCUUCAGAGCAGGGACACAGUCAUGCUUCUUCGCAUCCUGGCUUUUCUGCAUCCUGCUAGCAGGACACAUUGUGCUAAGUGCUGGGUCCUAUCAGAGGAAGAGUCCUGCCCCACGUCCUGGUUUGAUGGUAUGUUGAGCCAUCCUGGAUUUCCUUAGGAAUCAGUGAGGCAGGGGCAUCCCACAGUCCCCAUACCACAGCACGAGGAAGCUACAGCACUUCCUGCCCUUCCUGCAGCUUUUGGCUCCUCUGUGGUAGGUCAGAAGGUGGAAAUGCAGACGUGCCACCUUCUGAGAGAAAUGAGGUGUCCAAAACAGAGGUCCCUUCCAUCCACUGAGGGCAGCCUCUUUGUCUUUCUGCUUCCCAGUUCUCUCCUCCUACCCUCAGACAUCCCCAGUCUCUGGAUGGACACUAGGAUGCCAC